rnacentral:rRNA from 1 species
UGGGGAAUAUUGGACAAUGGGCGAAAGCCUGAUCCAGCCAUGCCGCGUGUGUGAAGAAGGUCUUCGGAUUGUAAAGCACUUUAAGUUGGGAGGAAGGGCAUUAACCUAAUACGUUAGUGUUUUGACGUUACCGACAGAAUAAGCACCGGCUAACUCUGUGCCAGCAGCCGCGGUAAUACAGAGGGUGCAAGCGUUAAUCGGAAUUACUGGGCGUAAAGCGCGCGUAGGUGGUUUGUUAAGUUGGAUGUGAAAUCCCCGGGCUCAACCUGGGAACUGCAUUCAAAACUGACUGGCUAGAGUAUGGUAGAGGGUGGUGGAAUUUCCUGUGUAGCGGUGAAAUGCGUAGAUAUAGGAAGGAACACCAGUGGCGAAGGCGACCACCUGGACUAAUACUGACACUAAGGUGCGAAAGCGUGGGGAGCAAACA